rnacentral:rRNA from 1 species
UACGUAGGGUGCAAGCGUUGUCCGGAAUUAUUGGGCGUAAAGAGCUCGUAGGCGGUCUGUCGCGUCUGCUGUGAAAACUCAGGGCUUAACCCUGAGCUUGCAGUGGGUACGGGCAGACUAGAGUGCGGUAGGGGAGACUGGAAUUCCUGGUGUAGCGGUGAAAUGCGCAGAUAUCAGGAGGAACACCGGUGGCGAAGGCGGGUCUCUGGGCCGAUACUGACGCUGAGGAACGAAAGCGUGGGGAGCGAACAGG